UCCCUGAUAGCUCAGCUGGUAAAGAAUCCGCCUGCAAUGCGGGAGACCUGGGUUCGAUCCCUGGGUUGGGAA
rnacentral:tRNA from 1 species